rnacentral:antisense_RNA from 1 species
UUCAAUGGCAGCUGUGCGUCGGAGACCUUCGGGUCUGCCGGGUGGUAUGGCCGGUUCGCUAACCUUCGCACAGCUGCCACCCUA